AGAGUUUGAUCCUGGCUCAGGACGAACGCUGGCGGCGUGCUUAACACAUGCAAGUCGAACGAAGAGCGAUGGAAGCUUGCUUCUAUCAAUCUUAGUGGCGAACGGGUGAGUAACGCGUAAUCAACCUGCCCUUCAGAGGGGGACAACAGUUGGAAACGACUGCUAAUACCGCAUACGAUCUAAUCUCGGCAUCGAGGAUAGAUGAAAGGUGGCCUCUACAUGUAAGCUAUCACUGAAGGAGGGGAUUGCGUCUGAUUAGCUAGUUGGAGGGGUAACGGCCCACCAAGGCGAUGAUCAGUAGCCGGUCUGAGAGGAUGAACGGCCACAUUGGGACUGAGACACGGCCCAAACUCCUACGGGAGGCAGCAGUGGGGAAUCUUCCGCAAUGGACGAAAGUCUGACGGAGCAACGCCGCGUGAGUGAUGACGGCCUUCGGGUUGUAAAGCUCUGUUAAUCGGGACGAAAGGCCUUCUUGCGAAUAGUGAGAAGGAUUGACGGUACCGGAAUAGAAAGCCACGGCUAACUACGUGCCAGCAGCCGCGGUAAUACGUAGGUGGCAAGCGUUGUCCGGAAUUAUUGGGCGUAAAGCGCGCGCAGGCGGAUCAGUCAGUCUGUCUUAAAAGUUCGGGGCUUAACCCCGUGAUGGGAUGGAAACUGCUGAUCUAGAGUAUCGGAGAGGAAAGUGGAAUUCCUAGUGUAGCGGUGAAAUGCGUAGAUAUUAGGAAGAACACCAGUGGCGAAGGCGACUUUCUGGACGAAAACUGACGCUGAGGCGCGAAAGCCAGGGGAGCGAACGGGAUUAGAUACCCCGGUAGUCCUGGCCGUAAACGAUGGGUACUAGGUGUAGGAGGUAUCGACCCCUUCUGUGCCGGAGUUAACGCAAUAAGUACCCCGCCUGGGGAGUACGACCGCAAGGUUGAAACUCAAAGGAAUUGACGGGGGCCCG
rnacentral:rRNA from 1 species